CACUAAGAAGCUAAAUAGGACACAGCAUUAGCCUUUUAAGCUAAAGAUUGGUGACUCCCGACCACCCUUAGUGA
rnacentral:tRNA from 1 species